GACGAACGCUGGCGGCGUGCUUAACACAUGCAAGUCGAACGAAGUGGCGAACGGGUGAGUAACGCGUAAUCAACCUGCCCUUCAGAGGGGGACAACAGUUGGAAACGACUGCUAAUACCGCAUACUGAAGGAGGGGAUUGCGUCUGAUUAGCUAGUUGGAGGGGUAACGGCCCACCAAGGCGAUGAUCAGUAGGCGGGCUGAGAAGGUGAACCGGCAAAUUGGGAAUGGUACACCGGCCAGAACCCUACGGGAGGGAGCAGUGGGGAAAUCUUCGCAAUGGACGAAAGUCCUACGGAGCAAAGGCGCGGUGGUGAUGACGGGCUUCGGGUUGUAAAGCUCUGUUAAUCGGGACGCGGUACCGGAAUAGAAAGCCACGGCUUACUUCGUGCCAGCAGCCGCGGUAAUAC
rnacentral:rRNA from 1 species